CUGCUGCCUUCCGUAGGAGUCUGGUCCGUGUCUCAGUACCAGUGUGGGGGACCUUCCUCUCAGAACCCCUGCGCAUCGUCGCCUCGGUGGGCCGUUACCCCGCCGACUAGCUAAUGCGCCGCAUGGCCAUCCGCAGCCGAUGAAUCUUUAACCGCCGAGGGAUGCCCCUCUGCGGUGUUACGCGGUAUUAGACGGAAUUUCUUCCGCUUAUCCCCCUGCUGCGGGCAGGUUCCAUACGUGUUACUCACCCGUGCGCCGGUCG
rnacentral:rRNA from 1 species